CUGGAGUGGGGGACAACGUCUCGAAAGGGACGCUAAUACCGCAUACGUCCUACGGGAGAAAGCAGGGGACCUUCGGGCCUUGCGCUAUCAGAUGAGCCUAGGUCGGAUUAGCUAGUUGGUGAGGUAAUGGCUCACCAAGGCGACGAUCCGUAACUGGUCUGAGAGGAUGAUCAGUCACACUGGAACUGAGACACGGUCCAGACUCCUACGGGAGGCAGCAGUGGGGAAUAUUGGACAAUGGGCGAAAGCCUGAUCCAGCCAUGCCGCGUGUGUGAAGAAGGUCUUCGGUUUGUAAAGCACUUUAAGUUGGGAGGAAGGGCAGUAAGCGAAUACCUUGCUGUUUUGACGUUACCGACAGAAUAAGCACCGGCUAACUCUGUGCCAGCAGCCGCGGUAAUACAGAGGGUGCAAGCGUUUAAUCGGAAUUACUGGGCGUAAAGCGCGCGUAGGUGGUUUGUUAAGUUGAAUGUGAAAUCCCCGGGCUCAACCUGGGAA
rnacentral:rRNA from 1 species